GACGUAGGGAGCGAGCGUUGUCCGGAAUUACUGGGCGUAAAGAGCUCGUAGGCGGGACCGUAAGUCCGAGAGGAAAUCUCAAGGCUCAACUUUGGGGCUUUCUUGGAUACUGCGGUUCUUGAGGAUGAGAGAGGUAAGUAGAAUUCCCGGUGUAGCGGUGAAAUGCGUAGAUAUCGGGAGGAAUACCAGUGGCGAAGGCGGCUUACUGGCUCAUUCCUGACGCUGAGGAGCGAAAGCGUGGGGAGCGAACAGG
rnacentral:rRNA from 1 species